UAUGCACCCCCCAACCAGUAAUAAUAAACACCAGAAGUCACAACAUGCAAGUAGCUCAACCUCCCUUCCAACUACCUCGUGUAGCUAAAGCUAGAGUGGUUGCUGGUCUGAUUGGGAAAAAGGCCCUAGUUCAGAGUUAUUUAAAUGGAUUAGCAGUUGCCUCAUUGCUCGAUUCGGGGUCACAAGUUAGUAUAAUCAGCCGUGCCUGGAAAGAUGAAUAUCUACCUGACCUCAGUAUUCACCCAGUUUCUGAGAUCUUAGGUGAGGAGGAACUGAAGGUCAUUGCAGCAAAUGGUGGCCUCAUUCCAUAUGAUGGGUGGGUAGCUAUUACAGUGAACUUGCCAGGGAAUUUGGAUCCUAAUAUGUCAAUUAGUGUUCCAUUUCUGAUCAGCAGCUAUCCCACAGAUAAACCACUGAUUGGCUUUAAUGUUUUGGAAGUGUUAAUCAGUGGCCAACCAGAGAGGCUAAUGCCGGUACUUACUAACCUUCUCAGUAAUGCCAUAUCUGUCCCCAACGAAACAGCUAAAACUCUUGUCAGCUUUGUUCAGACAGCAAAAUCAGUCAUGCAGCAGGGACGAUUAAGAACAGGGGCCAAAAACAUUGUACUCCCAGCUAGGCAAGUGUCAUGGGUGAAAUGUCGGGUUCCAUCAAAUAUGGAUGCCUCCACUCGGCUGGUGUUUUUUGAAACAGAUGAGGACACCCUGUCAGCUGAACAAUGGAAUACAGGUCCAGGUUUGUUAGAGAUCCAGAAUCCAACAAAGCCCUAUGUCACCAUUCCAGUAUGUAACAAUACUAACCAUGACAUCACAAUAUCAGGCAAAACCACUCUAGGAAUCCUGCAGCAUAUUGAAAAUGUGGUGGAGGCAGAUACCUUGGACAAAUCACAGCCUGCUGCGAUUGUAAGGGAAGUCACCACGACUCGAAUCAGCAGCUCAGACUCAUCCCUGUGGAACCCACCGGUGAAGCUUGACCACCUGGAGGAGGAACAGCAGGAGGCUGCAAAAAAGAUGCUGCAUGAGGAGUCAAACGCCUUUGCGAGGGACGGAAAUGACAUUGGCUGUAUUCCAAAUCUGCAAAUGGUCAUCAACCUCAAAGACAAUAUUCCUGUACAGAGAGCGUACACAUCCAUCCCUAAACCACUGUUCAAAGAGGUAAAAGAAUACAUCCAAGAUCUUCUUGUAAAGGGAUGGAUAGUAAAAUCGAAGUCUUCCAAUUCUGCCCCAGUAGUGUGUGUACGGAUGGCACUUUGCGCCUCUGUAUAGACUACCGCCUCUUAAACCAAAAAACUGUACCGGACCGACAUCCACUGCCAAGGAUACAGGAUUUGACAGACACGCUCGGUGGAUAUUCAAUGUUCAGCAUACUCGACCAAGGUAAAGCUUAUCACCAAGGGUUUGUAGCAGAAGAUUCACGCCAUCUCACUGCCUUCAUUACCCCCUGGGGGCUUUAUGAAUGGACAAGAAUCCCAUUUGGACUUUCAAAUGCACCUGCAGCAUUCCAGAGGAGCAUGGAGGAAAUGCUAGGCCCCCUUAGAGAUGAGUGUUGCAUUCCGUACCUGGAUGACCUACUGUGCUACUCCAGAUCUUUCAUUGACCAUGUUGAGGUGACCCGCAAGGUUCUCCAAGCACUACAGCACCAUGGGGUGAAGUUAAGAGCAGAG
ensembl:lncRNA